rnacentral:ncRNA from 1 species
CAGUAGUAAUCCAUCUUGGUAUGAGUGGAAUUAUAGGUUAGCUUUUGGCGUCUGUGCUUGCCUGAGAAGCCAGUUGUGUGAAGCUGCCAUCUGUGGGAUUAUGACUGAAUGCCUCCGAGUCAAAAUAUCCCCUAGAAGG